rnacentral:rRNA from 1 species
CGGCACGGGUGAGUAACGCGUAUGCGACCUGCCCGUUGCAGGGGGAUAAUCGGGAGAAAUCCCGCCUAAUACCGCGUAACGCCGCGGGGCUGCAUGGCCCUGCGGCCAAAGGGAGCGAUUCCGGCAACGGAUGGGCAUGCGUGACAUUAGCUAGUUGGCGGGGCAACGGCCCACCAAGGCGACGAUGUCUAGGGGUUCUGAGAGGAAGGUCCCCCACACUGGUACUGAGACACGGACUAGACUCCUACGGAAGGCAGCAG